AGAGUGAACGCUGGCGGUAGGCCUAACACAUGCAAGUCGAACGGCAGCACAGGAGAGCUUGCUCUCUGGGUGGCGAGUGGCGGACGGGUGAGGAAUACAUCGGAAUCUACCUUUUCGUGGGGGAUAACGUAGGGAAACUUACGCUAAUACCGCAUAAGACCUUCGGGUGAAAGCCGGGGACCUUCGGGCCUGGCGCGGAUAGAUGAGCCGAUGUCGGAUUAGCUUGUUGGCGGGGUAAAAGCCCACCAAGGCGACGAUCCGUAGCUGGUCUGAGAGGAUGAUCAGCCACACUGGAACUGAGACACGGUCCAGACUCCGUACGGGAGGCAGCAGUGGGGAAUAG
rnacentral:rRNA from 1 species